rnacentral:rRNA from 1 species
CCUACGGGUGGCAGCAGUGAGGAAUAUUGGUCAAUGGACGAAAGUCUGAACCAGCCAUGCCGCGUGCAGGAAGACGGCUCUAUGAGUUGUAAACUGCUUUUGUACAAGGGUAAACCUGAAUACGUGUAUUCAGCUGAAAGUACUGUACGCAUAAGGAUCGGCUAACUCCGUGCCAGCAGCCGCGGUAAUAAGGAGGAUCCAAGCGUUAUCCGGAUUUAUUGGGUUGAAAGGGUGCGUAGGCGGAUUGAUAAGUUAGAGGUGAAAUGUCCGGGCUCAACUCGGGAACUGCCUCUAAUACUGUUGAUGUAGAGAGUAGAUGCGGUAGGCGGAAUGUAUGGUGUAGCGGGGAAAUGCUUAGAGAUCAUACAGAACACCGAUUGCGAAGGCAGCUUACCAAUCUAUAUCUGACGUUGAGGCACGAAAGCGUGGGGAGCAAACAGGAUUAGAUACCCUUGUAGUC